UACGAAGGGGGCUAGCGUUGCUCGGAAUUACUGGGCGUAAAGCGCACGUAGGCGGCUCUUUAAGUCGGGGGUGAAAUCCUGGAGCUCAACUCCAGAACUGCCUUCGAUACUGAAGAGCUUGAGUCCGGGAGAGGUGAGUGGAACUGCGAGUGUAGAGGUGAAAUUCGUAGAUAUCGUCAAGAACACCUAUUGCGAAGGCAGCUAACUAAGCUUAAACUGACGCUGAGGCACGAAAGUGUGGGGAUCAAACAGG
rnacentral:rRNA from 1 species